GUAAAAUAUUUUGUUUCAAUCUUGUUUUGAUUGUUGCAAGGUUAUGAUUAAGAUUGUGUUGAUUAAUAUUUUUUGUUUCUGUCUUUGUGUGGUGAGAUGAAUGGAUGAAGUCGGCUUUGAUGUGUUCUGUGGAAAUAGAGGUCAGGAAGCUUCAUCAAUACAGGUUAGUGUUACUUUUCCAUGAAUUAGAACUGAUGUGGUUAGCUUCUGUGAGGAAUUAAAGAUGUAGUUAACUGUAACAUUAUGGUUGUGAUGAUGGUAAUAAAUAGAACUGACGGUUAGAUAGAAAAGGGAACGUGAAGUGUGUUGAAUGAAUUAGAUAAAUGUC
rnacentral:lncRNA from 1 species